UCCUUAUACAACCUUACAACUGUAUUCAGCACAUUCAGCAGAAUAAAUGACAAUAAUCUAAUAUAUUGGGCGAACAUGUAUCGAUAUCAAAAAGCUUACUUUCAGGUCGAUAUUCGAUUAUUUAGAUCGAUAUUAAUCUAAAGCCUAUCUUGCACAUUUGAUUGCCGACCCGUAUAAUCAAAAACCAUUUAUAAAAUAGUCAGGAUUAUUACUGUAUAUAGUUUGAUAAAUGGUAACUUUUUGUGGUUUAUGUCUUUUAAGCCUGUAGUACAAUCUUUGUCUAAUGGUCAAAUAUUUGACCUUCUGACAUAAUGGUCAAAUUUAUUUGACAUCAUGGUUGUUGUUUGCCCCAUGUUAAAAUUGGAGAGUGACAAAUAAUUAUCUUUGACCAAAUUUUUAUCUGUCAAAAAGUGACAAAUAUUUGACGCUCGGUCAAAGAGUGUACUACAGGCUUAACUAUCUGCUCUGUUCAGCAUUAAUGGUUCAAACAACUGGCGUACUAUUACAGAAUUGUGUAAUGAAAAUAAGAAUUGUGCUCAUCAAACAAAAUUUUUUGAAUUAUACCAAACAUUCGGUGCAUUUAUCGGCGUCAGGCAGCGAGGUAGCGAUGGUUCGCAAAAUCAAGAACCUUACAGUACCUGUCAUCACGGCAAGUGAUUUAUUUUCAUGUUUCAUAUUUGGGAAAAAAUAUCCAAUUGGAAACUAUUCUAAUUGCAAUAUCGAGCUAGAUACGUUUGAAACGGGGAAUAAGAAAUGAAAAGUUGCUAUAAUGUUUACAUAUAGCUUCGCAGGUAAAUUUAGCGCUUUUGCUUUUGUAUCGCAUUCAUAAGCGCACGACCACACCUACGCAUGUUUCGUUCGCGCAUGUAUCCCGUAUUAUCCUUUGCUUAAAUUAUCAGGAUAAGCGAGAUGCAUCUAAAAAUGCAUGUAUUAGUAAGUAUAUCAAGUUGUAUGAAUGAAUUUCUGUUCUUGUUUCGCGCAUUGAUAAAGAUAAGUAUCUAGCCAUUCUUAAUGAAGGAAGGAAUCUCUUCUCUUUCUUACUUAUUGUUAGUAUGUAUUUUACAUUUAAGACAGUGCAUUAGAUUUAGGUAUAAAAACUCUGUAAAUUUCAUUAAUAAAUUCAUUCUGUUUG